GAAUAUUGGACAAUGGGCGCAAGCCUGAUCCAGCCAUGCCGCGUGAGUGAUGAAGGCCUUAGGGUUGUAAACCGCUUUUGUCAGGGAAGAAAUCUUUCGGGUUAACACCUCGAGAGGAUGACGGUACCUGACGCAUAAGCACCGGCUAACUACGUGCCAGCAGCCGCGGUAAUACGUAGGGUGCAAGCGUUAAUCGGAAUUACUGGGCGUAAAGCGUGCGCAGGCGGUUGUGCAAGACAGGUGUGAAAUCCCCGGGCUUAACCUGGGAACUGCACUUGUGACUGCACGGCUGGAGUACGGCAGAGGGGGAUGGAAUUCCGCGUGUAGCAGUGAAAUGCGUAGAUAUGCGGAGGAACACCGAUGGCGAAGGCAGUCCCCUGGGCCUGUACUGACGCUCAUGCACGAAAGCGUGGGGAGCAAA
rnacentral:rRNA from 1 species